AUGUUGUUAGACAACAAUGAACCUACGAUCCAUGGAGAAGCGAUGGUGGGCCCGUAUUCCGACAAAUGGUUAGAAGCCAUGAAAUCCGAGAUAGGAUCCAUCUAUCAGAACAAAGUAUGGACUUUGGUGGACUUGCCCGAUGAUCGGCAAGCCAUUGAGAUAAAUGAGUCUUUAAGAAGAAGACGGGCGUGGGCGGUAAUGUUACCAUCUAUGAAGCUCGACUUGUGGGAAAGAAACUUUUCACAAGUUCAAGGAGUUGACUACGAUGAGAAUUUCUCAUCCGUAGCGAUGCUUAAGUCCGUCGGAAUCAUGUUAGCAUUAGCUGUAUUUUUCGAUUAUGAAAUCUUACAGAUGGAUGUCAAAACAAGUUUUCUUACCAAGUUUUCGUAA
rnacentral:rRNA from 1 species